GUCCCGGCAAAAUCCGGGGCCGGGCGUAGGAACCCGAUAAUCAUCAGUAGGCGCAACAGCGCCCAGAUCACCACUGCAGGCGUUUUUUU
rnacentral:sRNA from 1 species